GAUGAACGCUGGCGGCGUGCCUAACACAUGCAAGUCGAACGGAAAGGCUCCUGCUUGCAUGGGUACUCGAGUGGCGAACGGGUGAGUAACACGUGGGUGAUCUGUCCUGCACUUCGGGAUAAGCCUGGGAAACUGGGUCUAAUAUCCGAUAGGACGUUGUUUUGGAUGCCAUUCUGGAGAGUUUUUCGGUGUGGGCUGAGCUUGCGGCCUAUCAGCUUGUUGGUGGGGUAAUGGCUUACCAAGGCGUCGACCGGUAGCCGGCCUGAGAGGGUGUACGGCCACAUUGCGACUGAGAUACGGCGCAGACUCCAACGGGAGGCAGCGGUGGAGAAUAUGGCACAAUGGGCGCAAGCCUGAUGCAGCGACGCCGGGUGGGGGAUGACGGCCUUCGGGUUGUAAACACCUUUCGCUAGGGACGAAGCGCAAGUGACGGUACCUGGAGAAGAAGCACCGGCUAACUACGUG
rnacentral:rRNA from 1 species